UGGACAUGACGUUAGCUGGUUUGCGGGUACAGAGGAUGUACUCGCAGAGGAUUGGACUAAAUGAAGACAGAUGGUUUGCUGUGGUGGGAAAAGACAAAAAAAGGAGAGCUCGGCUCCACGCCUGUGUGUCCACACGCAUUCGUGUCUGCGUGCCCAUGCGUGUGUGAAAGCUCCACGAUUUGGUGAUAAAGAGAACCACAUAAUUCUUCAACAUCGUCUUGCCUGACACAAUCCCAUCAGCUCACCUUUAUGCUUUUUUUCCCCAAUGUUGCUCAGCUGAAGCGAAUUCAGUGAUGAAAUGAACGCCGACUGUUCAGGGAAAAAAAUAAAUUAAACUACAGCA